CGCCCAGCCACCCACAGACCCAGAGGGGCCCUGAGUCAGCCCGGCUGCUGCCAUGAGCGGCGGCCUCCUGUGCUGCGUGGCCUUGUGCCUCCUCCGUGCAGGUCUGGGGAUGGCCGGCGUCACUCAGUCCCCGACAUUCCAGGUUGUGACAACAGGACAGACGGUGACCUUGCGGUGUUCCCAGGACUUGAACCAUAACAACAUGUACUGGUACCGACAGGACCUGGGUCACGGGCUGAGGCUGAUCCAUUACUCAGUGGGUGUUGGGGUCAAGGACAAAGGAGAGGUUUUGGAUGGGUACAGCGUCUCUAGACCAAAACGAGAAGACUUCCCCCUCACGCUGGAGGCGGCCACCCCCGCCCAGACGUCCGAGUCCGUCUGCGCCAGCAGCGAGGCAAGCAACGGGAGGGCAAAACCUCUGCUCUCUCAUCCCAAAGAGCAGAUCCCCGAGAGGGGCGUGGCCAGUCUUGUGCUGCCGGAAUCCUCCAGGGGCUCUUGGCUCCUCUGCUGCGUGGACCUGUGUCUGCUGGGUGCAGGGUCAGUGGCUGCUGGAGUCACCCAGUCCCCAAGACACCUCAUCAAAGGCCGUGGAGCCCAGGAGGCCUGCUCGCUGGAGCAGCCAGAGCUGCUGAAGUGCUAA